CUAGUUCAUUAGUUAAUUUUUAUAAUAUUUUCUCUCAUCUUGUAGGUAUUUGAUUCUCCUCACUUAAAAGUAUUGGUGGGCAAAAGGAUCCGACGACGUUUAGAUGCUAAAUCCAUUGUCCAGUUGCUUAAGAGUUUUGAUGCUCCCGUUGGGACUACUGCAUAUGUAGAGCAAUCAAUACCUUUUCCUCAAGAUGGUAAACAGGGAUGGUGGGGUGGAGGAUUUGGAUAUGGACUGUGGAUUGGGAUCUUAGUUGCAUCAGGGUUUUCUGUUGUUCCAGUGCCAUCUUCUGUAUGGAAGAAUGAGCUCAAACUCUCCGAAACCGCUCAAGUAAGGAUGAUAGCAGGGAAGCUGCAUCCACAUUAUUUCCAUCUAUGAGUUCCCUGUUGAAAAGGAAGAAAGAUCAUGGUCGAGCUGAGGCACUACUCAUUGCUGCUUACGGCAAAGGCAUGAAGAUCAGCACCAAUUCAUCAUCCCUCUCAGAAGAAUUGAUGUCUUAAAAUAGGCAAAUUGGCCACAACCCACUCCUUUCUUUUGUCACAUCCUUCAGUUGUUGCUUCUUUUCUUCUCUGCAAAUGCUACAAAAUGAAGAGCAACAUGAAUAGCGACAAAGAGUAGUUGAUGGUUUGGUAUUGUAUAAUUCUCACAUUAGACUGACUGCGUUAGAUAUUUCACUAGUUUUAGUUUUUAGCUUUUUAUCUUUUUUGCCAUUGUCAUUUUUUUUCUUCUUUUUGGGAUUGCUUCAUGGAGAUUAGCUGACUGAUAGUAUUAUUGAUACUUCUUGUGGGAUUUAAACUUCCCAAUUGUGAUCCUUCUUUGUAACCUAGUAUGUGUAAUUGUUAGAUGAAUAUCUAAAUUCUGAUGGAAAUUUGAGGUUCUCUUGGAAACA